rnacentral:rRNA from 1 species
CUACGGGAUGCUGCAGUGGGGAAUAUUGGACAAUGGGGGAAACCCUGAUCCAGCAAUGCCGCGUGUGUGAAGAAGGCCUGCGGGUUGUAAAGCACUUUCGGUUGGGAGGACUGCUUCUAGCACUAAUAUUGUUGGAAGUUGACGUUACCUUCAGAAGAAGCACCGGCGACCUCCGUGCCAGCAGCCGCGGUAAACGGAGGGUGCAAGCGUUAAUCGGAAUUAUGGGGCGUAAAGGGCGCGUAGGCGGCUAGAUCAGUCGGGUGUGAAAGCCCCGGGCUUAACCUGGGAACUGCAUCCGAUACUGUCUAGCUUGAGUACAGGAGAGGAGAGUGGAAUUCCACAUGUAGCGGUGAAAUGCGUAGAUAUGUGGAGGAACACCAAUGGCGAAGGCAGCUCUCUGGCCUGAUACUGACGCUGAGGUGCGAAAGCGUGGGGAGCAAACAGGAUUAGAUACCCCAGUAGUC